rnacentral:rRNA from 1 species
GGCGGCAUGCCUAACACAUGCAAGUCGAACGCCCCGCAAGGGGAGUGGCGAACGGGUGAGUAACGCGUGGGAACCUACCCAGCAGUUGGGGAUAACCGCGGGAAACCGCGGCUAAUACCGAAUACGUCCUGAGGGAGAAAGAUUUAUCGCUGUUGGAGGGGCCCGCGUCGGAUUAGCUANUUGGUGAGGUAAUGGCUCACCAAGGCAUCGAUCCGUAGCUGGUCUGAGAGGAUGAUCAGCCACACUGGGACUUAGACACGGCCCAGACUCCUACGGGAGGCAGCAGUGGGGAAUAUUGGACAAUGGGGGCAACCCUGAUCCAGCAAUGCCGCGUGAGUGAUGAAGGCCUUAGGGUUGUAAAGCUCUUUUACCGGGGACGAUGAUGACGGUACCCGGAGAAUAAGCCCCGGCUAACUUCGUGCCAGCAGCCGCGGUAAUACGAAGGGGGCGAGCGUUGUUCGGAGUUACUGGGCGUAAAGGGCGCGUA